UACAGAGGGUGCGAGCGUUAAUCGGAAUUACUGGGCGUAAAGCGUGCGUAGGCGGCCUGGUAAGUAGGGGGUGAAAUCCUGCGGCUUAACCGCAGGGCUGCCUUCUAAACUGUCAGGCUCGAGCACGGUAGAGGCAGAUGGAAUUCCCGGUGUAGCGGUGGAAUGCGUAGAGAUCGGGAAGAACAUCAGUGGCGAAGGCGGUCUGCUGGGCCGUUGCUGACGCUGAGGCGCGACAGCGUGGGGAGCAAACAGG
rnacentral:rRNA from 1 species